AUGCUACUCCCUCCGUCCAAAAAAACUUGUCCCUCAAAUGAAUGUAUCUAGCAACAAGUUAGUGCUAGAUACAUCCAUUUGAGAGACAAGCUUGGGACAACCUUUUUCGGACGGAGGGAGUAUUAU
rnacentral:pre_miRNA from 1 species